rnacentral:rRNA from 1 species
GCUGAGCACUCCUACGGGAGGCAGCAGUGGGGAAUAUUGCACAAUGGGCGCAAGCCUGAUGCAGCCAUGCCGCGUGUAUGAAGAAGGCCUUCGGGUUGUAAAGUACUUUCAGCAGUGAGGAAGGUGGGUAUGUUAAUAGCAUAUUCAUUUGACGUUAGCUGCAGAAGAAGCACCGGCUAACUCCGUGCCAGCAGCCGCGGUAAUACGGAGGGUGCGAGCGUUAAUCGGAAUUACUGGGCGUAAAGCGCAUGCAGGUGGUUUGUUAAGUCAGAUGUGAAAGCCCGGGGCUCAACCUCGGAAUUGCAUUUGAAACUGGACAAACUAGAGUACUGUAGAGGGGGUAGAAUUUCAGGUGUAGCGGUGAAAUGCGUAGAGAUCUGAAGGAAUACCGGUGGCGAAGGCGGCCCCCUGGACAGAUACUGACACUCAGAUGCGAAAGCGUGGGGAGCAAACAGGAUUAGAUACCCUGGUAG